UACAGAGGGUGCGAGCGUUGUUCGGAAUUAUUGGGCGUAAAGGGCGCGUAGGCGGUGCGGUAAGUCACCUGUGAAAUCUCCUGGCUCAACUGGGAGCUUGCAGGCGAAACUGCCGUGCUGGAGUGUGGGAGAGGUGCGUGGAAUUCCUGGUGUAGCGGUGAAAUGCGCAGAUAUCAGGAGGAACACCGGUGGCGAAGGCAGCCCCCUGGGCUGAUACUGACGCUCAGGCACGAAAGCGUGGGGAGCAAACAGG
rnacentral:rRNA from 1 species